rnacentral:lncRNA from 1 species
ACCAGUAAUUCCACUUCUAGGCACACAUCCACACAAAAACUAGUGCAUGAAUGUUCAUAAUGGCCAAAAAGUGCCCAUCAAUGGAUGAAUGGAUGAAUCAAAUCUAGUAUAUCCAUAUGAUGGAAUAUUAUUUAGCCAUAAAGAGGAAUGGGUUAGUGACACAUGCCACAACAUGGAUGAACCUUGAAAACAUGACAUGAAAAUGAAAUGAAAGGAGCCAGCCACAAAAGAUCACAUGUAUGAUUCCAUUAGUAUGCAAUGUCCAGAAUAAGAAAUCCCUAGGGACAGAAAGUAGAUGGUGGCCAGGAGUUGAGGGGAGAAGAAAAUGGGUACUAACUGCUAAUGGGUAUGGAGUUUCUUUUGGGGCAAUGAAAAUGGUCUGGAAUUAGAUAGCAGUGAUAGUUGCACAACCUUGUGAAUGUACCGAAAACCAUUGAAUUGAGGUAAAAUUCAGUGUAUGGUAUAUAAUAUCUCCAUUUAAAAAAAUCAAAGCUAGUGAUGCAACUUACUUUACAUAUCUGUUAGUACAUUUUUUGGAUAGACCGACACUCCUUCCAGAAGCCAGGGAACUGCUGUCGCUGUGGCUGUAAAACAGAUGAAAGCAGUACUAACAGCUCAUCUGGUUUCAGAUUCUGUUCUUGCUGGUUAACAUCAUCAGGCCAAAACUGCAGUAAUUUUAAAUUUUCACUUGGAGAGUCUUCCAACUCACUUAAUCUAUCGAUCAAACAAUUACCAUCCUAGUGAGCGCUCCUCAAGGACUGAAACCUGCUGAAAGUAAGACACCAUGAAAUUAAUGUGUUUGAACAUAAAAUCAAACGGAAAAUUCUGUAAAGUACUAGGAAGUACUCCUCUGUAAAGCAUUUGGAUGCCAUAUUUGCUUUUUUCCUCAGUUUCCAAUGCUGUGUUGGUACCAUUCUUUAGAACAAAAAUGUACAGGAAGGAAUUAUCUACCAAAGGUCCUCCUACAACUUGCUGGUGCCUGGCACUGACCUGCACCGUUAGAUUUAUUGACUGAAGAAUUACACCCUCUUUGAUGGUACGCAGUUUAAUUCAAUAGAUCAAAGCUACGUCUAGAUUUUAAAUAAAUGAUAGGGAUUUAAAAUUGUAUAUAAAAAACGUCAUUAUAUCUUGCUUUCUUUGGGUAUGUAUUCUUUAAUUGAGCAGGCAAAGAAUUUUAAGAGAAAAAUAUAAAAUGCAGCUAUAAUAUUAUUAAUCUGAUCUUGCUAUUUGAAAGAAUCUAGGUCAGUUAUGUUUUGAGCUAUUACUGUUGAAUCCUGUGCAUAUAAUCUUUUUUCUUCUCUUUUCUUUUCUUUAUUUCUUUUUAUUUUGAGAUCGAGUCUCUCUCUGUCUCCCAGGCUGGAGUGCAGAGGCGCGAUCUUGGCUCACUGCAACCUCCUCCUCCCGGGUUCAAGUGAUUCUCCUGCCUCAGCCUCCCGAGUAGCCGAGAAUACAGGAAGCUGAGCUAAGUGAGCAGCUGAAGAUGAAGGGAAGCCCAGAGGUUUUGCAGGUCACCAGAAAAGCCCUAAUUGAAGGAGGUACUAUACAAAUUUAGAAGAAAUGGUGCGUGAUUGUUUACAAAAGGUUCCUGAAUUUUCAGUGUUUGGCAGAGGAGGAGACAUGGAGAAAUACUGAAACUCCUGCUAAAGGACACCCCUUCAAAGGGCAGGCGCUGUGCUGGGCUCUGGGACUCGUGGGUGAACUGCACAGAGCUGGGCCCUGCCUUCAGGGAAAGAAGACAAUAAGCAAAACAUACCCAAAGAGAUGGUUACAAAGACAGCGAGCACCCGGAAGGAAAAUGGAAGCUGCCAGGAAAGGGGCUCCUGGGCCUACUCACCAGGAAGUCCAGUCCUCACCAGCCCGGAGGCCUGGUCUGCAUCCUCAGCCUCACAGAAGCUCAACCAGUCACUUAAAACGAGAUUGCAGUGAUGUUUUACAACUCUGUGAACGCACUAAUAGCCACUGAAUUCUACACUAACGUGUGCAUUUUAUGACAGGAGUGCUGCAUCUGGAUGGCAUGGCAGAGGGAAGCCCCAGCUGCCACUGCUCCAGGGACCCUUAUAGUUCCACGGUGAUGGGGAACAGAAAGAGGCUCUUCCAGGAAACAGCCUUGGGGACAAGGAGACCACACUUCUGGGUGAUUCGAAGAUCAGACAAGGCUCCUGUAAAAUGAACGAAUGAAGUGAAUGAAUGAGACGGAGUUGCACUGUUAGAGAUGGUGGCAGCAGUGUGAAUCAAAUGAAGUCCCUGCUCUCCCGGUUGUGGCCACGUUAGUCCAGCCCAGAAGAGUCUCCAGGGGCCCGAGCAUCUGUCCUCACAUCAGAACUAGCUUUGGGAUUGUGACUUUGGGGUUGCUUUGUUGGCUUCCUUUUCCUGUCAGGCAGCAUAUAGGGCUGGGGGCUGUCAACCGCACCCUCCCUGAAUCUACGUCCAUCACGAGUCCCCUUGCAGGGCCUUCUUUUUUUUUGACCCAGCGUCAGUCAUGUAACUUGCUUUGGCCAAGUGAUGUCAGCAAGUGGGAUACAAGCAGAGGUCUGAAAAGUGCUGGCAAACGGGGCUUGCUCGCUCGGCUCUGCCACAGUGUGAGAACGUGCCUCGACUCGCCUGCCGGUGGACAGCACACUUGGAACAGGACUGGUGUCGCCAGCUGCCCCAGCCGAGGCCACCCUAGACCAGCCAGCAGCCAGGACCAUGGCCCGGGCGAGUCCAGCCUGCAUCACUGGCUGCAGACUCGUGGGCUAAAUAAUUGCUCAUUGCUUCAAGUCACUGAGUUUCAGGGCAGUCCGUCCCAUAGCAUUAUUGUGGCAGUGGUCACUGAUGGGGCAGUAGGAGGGCUCCUGUCAGUACCAGGAGCUGUUGGCUCCUGUCAGAAAGGACCUAGUGGUAGCCAGUGUGGACCUGGAACAAGAGAGUGGGCCUUAAAACGAGGAUCUCCAGGCACCAUGUGGGGCUGAGCCUCAUAGGCAGCCAUUCCUGAAGCGCAGGAGGUGGUAGGAAAUUAGGAGGCAAAGGCAUGAGAUGCUAUGGCAGCUUCCCUGAGCGGGGACGAUGGGCACCACUCAUCGGUGGGCACCGCAGGGUGAGUCAGUUCCCGGCCCUGCUGCUUGAACUCAUCUCCCACAGGCACAGGCUGGCCGUGGGAGUCCGCGGGCCACGUGCAGUCUCCUCAUUCCCACCUCCUCCAGGUUUCCUUGCAGCCUCCACCUCCAGGGCUGAGUCAUGAGCUCAUGGCCCCAGGGAAGGAGAAGCUGGAAAGGCCUAGGACUUCAAGGUCACAGAGCUGUCAGCCCUCUGGGGAACUGCCUUGGUAGAACAGAGUAGCCACCUCACCCAAGGCAGCCCCCAGCCAGGGACGGAUCAGCUUGGGGGCGUAAACCUUGGUCCCCUCACCGCAGCUUGGUGCAGCCUGCAGGGCCACCCCAGCUCCGGGGCUCCUGAGACCAGCUUCUCCCUCGGGCCAUCCUGCCUGUCCCAUUCUGUCCCCUUCCAUCAGGGCUGACCCCCAGAGGACACCCUAACAAUUCCCUGCAGCCCAGGCUCCACCUCGGUGGGUAGCAGCUUCCCUGAAACCAGUGGUGCUUCUCAUUCAGUCCCUGCAGGCUGAGAAGCAGCCUGAAGGAUCUCCACUGCUUCCAGGCGAGGCCCCAGGGAUCUGCUGAGAAUCUGGCUGGUUGGCUUGCCAGGAAACAUCACUGUGAGUGUGAAGUGUCCCAGCCUUUGAGGGCCGCACGCCCACUGCCCAGGCAAGGGCUGAAUGGGAGCUUCAGAACUCAGGAGAUCACAGUGUGGGCGAGCCUAGGCUGCAGGACGGAGCCACAGCAAGGGUGACACAGGUUGCCAGUGCCCUGUGGAGGACACCACAGAACCCCACGGCAGCCCGGGCCUGCCGCGCCUGCACUGUCACCCACUUGGGGUGGAGCAUUCUUCUCUGCAACCAGCUAUAGGAAAUACAUAGUCUUAUAAUCUUUGUCCACCUGAGGAAUUACAGAUGGUCCCUGGCUCCUGGUGCCUCAAUUUAUGAUUUUUUGACUUUAUGAUGGUUUGAAAUAUUGGCAGUUUUGAUGAAUGUACAGUAUUCAAUAUAUCAUGUGAGGUAUUCAACAUUUUAUGAUAAAAUGGGCUUCGUGUGGCAUGAUUUUGCCCAAUUGUAGGCUAACCUGAGUGUUCUGAGCAUGUUUAAGGUCCACUAGGCUAAGCUAGGAUGUUCGGUAGCUUAGGUGUGUCAAAUGCAUUUUCAACUUACGAUAUUUUCAACUUGGAAUGGGUUUACCUGGAUGCAACCCCCAUGUAACUCGAGGAGCACCUGUAUGCGUCAAUUGCCUUCACCCUCUAACAGGGUGGGUGUGAGGGCUGCCAUGUCAGAGAAAGCAGGCCUGGAAUGGCGGUCAGAAGAGGAUUCUGGAAAUUCUGAGGUUUCCUAACAAGGCCCCAGUCAUGGCAGGAGGCUCUGAGGGCUCCACUGGGGCCGGAGAGGCUGCUUCCAGGCUCUCUCUGGCGUCCCUUGCUGGGGCUCCAGGCCUUCUCCAGCUGCUGGUGGCAGACCUGGAUCACAGGGCUGCUCAGUACAAGGCAGCUGGCUUUUCCCAGAGCAAGGGCUCUGAAGGGGAGGGAACAAGAGAAGGCGGGCAAGGUGGGGGGCACAGGCGUUUUGUAGCCAAAUAAUCUUGGAAGGGACAGCCCAUUACCUUUGCCAGAUUCUACUUAGUUGAAGCCAGUCCCUAGGUGACAGGAAUCACGAAGGCCAUUGGAGAGGCUGCCUGCCCUACGGGAUUGCAGAGGGGACGAGGCCCAGCAAAGUCUGUGGAGCUGGAGGAUGCCACGCCCAUUCAGGACGAAAUGCAGAAGGACGCUGCAGAGCCUGCUUCUCUGUUCCUUCGCCUCACUGGGGCAGACCAGCUGCGGCCAGCCUGUGCCCACUCCUCGCGGACCUGGGUACUGCUUCCAGAGAUCCUUCAGUCCUGGGAGUUUAAUCAUUCUGUCCCGGCCUCUUUGCUCCCAGCCCUCCCCUGGCAGUUGCUGCUCUAUUGUUCUAGCUCAGUUUUCACUUUUUGCCCUUGCAAUGCACAAGGGUUAGCAAUUCUUGAUGGUACAGUCUCUCUGUUCGAAGAGCUGGGGUGGUUUCUACUUCUAGCUGGACCCUGAGUGAUCCUUCAGGCAGGGGUCUCUGCGACUGGAGACAUGCUGUGUGCAUGAGGUCCCAUGUACACUCAGAUUGCAUCCCCCAUCCCUGCCCAGCCCUGAGAGGCAGGCGAGACAGUCCCCCUCUCACCAUCUCUGGGGUGGGCCUGGAUUUAUUGGCUGAAGAAUUACACCCUCUUUGAUGGUAUGCAGUUUAAUUCCGUAGAUCAAAGCUAUGUCUAGAUUUUAAAUAAAUGAUAGGGAUUUAAAAUUGUAUAUAAAACACAGUCAUUGUAUCUUGC